rnacentral:pre_miRNA from 13 species
CCCCUCGGCGCCCCCUCUCCCAACCCUUGUACCAGAGCAUAAACUGAACCCCUGGUACGGGGCCGUGGGAGAGGGGGAGCCGGGGCC